rnacentral:lncRNA from 1 species
GCAUUAUCCUUGGGACUUUCCCUGGGUCAGGGCCUUCAGACUCAGAAGCCCCAAACCUUGUGAAGUAAUCUGUAGGGACAAUACUACUUUUUGGUCCCCAGUAUCCCCAGCCAGAUGGCUUUGCCACCAGUACAGCUCAGUGUCCUCAUGGAGUAAGGUGGAUGUGGGCUCAGGAUUCCUGGAUACUGGGGUGACCCUAGGCCAGGAAUUCAACCUCUGUAAGACUCUGUUUCCUUAGUUCUAAAAAAGAUAAUCACAUCUUUCUCAUAAAGUUGCAGCAAGACAGAACUAACACAGAGAAAGUACCUUGAAAUGACAGGAUUGUUCUCCCUUAUCUCCUAAGCCUAACUGAAUUCAGAGGUCACACACACAAGCCCAGGACUUUUCUGACCUCCUCCUGCCUUCCAUCUUCAGGACUGCUCUGCUGGGGAGGUCCUGAAACGACCCUGGAAGAACUCCUCCCCUGCCCACCACCCUCCUUCCCCAGGGAGCAGAAAUACCUAGUUUCAGCCCUAAUAAUACCUGAAUGAGAUUUAUAGGACACCUUCGUCCCCAGAGUUCUCACAUACUAUUUCUCUUAUCUUUAGAUUGUCCUGUGAAGUAAAGUGAUGGUACAGCCUCUUUUCAGUUUUUAUGGAAAUGGAAACAGAGAGGAAUGGUGACUCUUGCCAAGGUCGCAGGAUUGGAAUAUGGAGCCAAACUGCCUCAGGUCAUAGAAGAUCAUCAGAAGGAGAAAAUCUGAGCAGGAAGAGAAGAGUCAGCUACCUCCUGAGGCUGUAAAAGUUGGAGGCAAGAAUGGAGGAAUCCCAGGCAAUCCUGCUUGUCUGGGACUUGGCAAGAGACCUGGGGAAUAUGACCCAACCCUUUUGUGGGGUCUUUGCUUUUGACCUAUUGGCCUAGUAUGUCCUCUACCAUUUCUGCCCUUAUCACAUCCUAUCAGGCCUGUUCACCCUGAAACAUUCUGGCCAGGCCUCUGGCAAAUGAAAGCUCUAUACCAUCUGCAUUUUCACCCCAAAGGACUGGAGGCAGUGUGCUCAGAAGUUGCCAAAGCAGAGGCUCCAGCCUUCUAAGAGUUAAUGACUCCUUCUCCCCAGCUGUCCUCCCUUUGGUGCUCCUCUUCCUCCCUCCUGCUCACAGCAGGCUCGGCCUGGACCCAGGAGCCAUGCUGCUGUGCUGUUGCCAGGGGAGCCCAGAGGCAGAUCUGAGCUAUGCAGGGAAAAGGCCCAGCCUGUCAAAGUGUCUGAGAUGAACCGCCGCUGUCCCUGUGCAGCUGGGCUCAGACUUGUCUCGGCUCUUGUCUGUGCCUGAGAAUGGCGAAGCCCAGUGAGGUUCAAGGGCAAACUCGCUAUUCAUUAGUCAGGGGUUCUUGACGUCCUGUCUCUCCAGGGAUGGGUUCCCCCCUUCCUCUCUCUCUCCCUCCUCUGAUACAUUCCUAGGUGCCUUUGGAGAGGACUACACACCCUCCUCUUGCCCAACCCCCUCUCCAUAGGCCCCUGAAUAAACUCCCCUCAAGGAGACCAGGCAGGAUAGAGACAAUGGCUUCAGGAAAUCAUUCAGGCGAGACCCCAGCCACUCUGGCCUGCCUUCCACUUCCACAGGCCCUGUAGGCACACUCUGCUGUGACUCCGGCCACUCUGGGCCACCAGCCUGCAUAGGCCUGGAUGGGAAGAGACUACUGGGCACUGCCCUAAGGACAACAUUCAGUGCAAUGCCAUUCUCACUGGGCUCCAGGUAUACAUUUAUCUCCCUGGCUGGGUGCUAUAUUUCUGUAACAUUGUGUGUCUAUUUAAAGACACUCUUCAAUACUGUUUUUAGGAAGUGUAUUUUCUAAAAUGUAGCAGUAUCAAAAAAUAAAAGGCAGUGGUGCAGGCCUGUAAUUCCAGCAACUCAGGAAGCUGAGUCAGGAAGAUUGCAAGUUCAAGGCCAGCAUCAGCAACUUCAGAAGACCCCAUCUCAAAAAAUUAAAAAGGGGGCUUUCAUGCACAAGGCCCUGGGUUCAAUCCCCAGCACCAAAAAAAAAAAAUAAUAAUAAUAAUAAUUAAAAGGGCUGGGGGUGUAUCUCAGCACUCCUGGAUCUAAUCUUCAGUACUGGGGAAAAAAAUAUAAAAGGCACAUAUACUUGAACACAAAUAUAUUGCACUAUUAGGAAUUUACCUUAUGGGUAUAUUUGUAAAACUUCCCAAAGAGGUAUGUACAAGGGUGUUCAUGGGAUCAUUUCUUCUUUACAGUGUAAAGAAAUAGAAAUAACCAAUGGGUCCUUUCAUACAGUGGAGUACUAUGCAGUUGUAAAAGUCCAUGUGGUAAGAUCUCUAUCGACAGGCCCAUAUGGAAUGUUGGCUAGUAUAUAUUAUAGGGUAAAUAGAAUAAACUGCAGAAUAGGCAAUAGAGUAUGAUCUUAUUUGUGUACAUUUAAAAAUCAGAGGCCAGCCGGGUGUGGUGGUGCACACCUGUAAUUCUAGCAGCUCAGGAGGCUGAGGCAGGGGGAUCGAGAAUUCAAAGCCAGCCUCAGCAACUUAGUGAGGCCCUAAGCAACUCAGUAAGACUCUGUCUCUAAACAAAAUACAAAAAUAGGUUGGGGAUGUGGCUCAGUGGAUAAGUGACCCUGGGUCCAACCCAGUACCAAAAAAAAAAAAAAAAAACCAGGCCAAGCGCAGUGGUGCUUGCCUAUAAAUUCUAGAAACUCCAGAGGUUGAGGCAGGAGGAUUAAUAGUUGGAGGCCAGCCUUAGCAAUUUAGUCAGGCUCUAAGCAACUUAUUGAGACCCUGUCUAAAAAUAAAAAGAUCUGGGGAUGAAGCUCUCAAUGAUAAAGCACCCUUGGGUUUAAUCCCAAUAAUAAUAAUAAUAAAUAAACCCUACAAAAAACAAAAACAAAUCAUAAAUAUGCUUAUAUAUGAGUGGUUUCUGAUAAUAUGUAUUAGAUAACCACCUCUGGGAAGUGGGGAUACAGGGAUGCAUUCUUCUGUACAAUAAUAUUUUCUUUUCAUGUUUGUAAAAUACUUUUCUUGAAAAAUAUAGGGACUAUUUAAUAGGCUUAACUUCUAUCAACAAACUUGGAAUAGGAACUUAAGAUGAUAGUGGUGAUGUUGCAGGAAAAAAUAUUCCAGAAUCACUGGCAACAUUAGCUACUAUACUUUUCUGAGCCUAAUGAUCACAUCAGCAUGGCUCUAUUAAUCAUAAAAUCUAGUAAGUGCCAGGGUGUUUCUCUUGGUCUUGUUUAGGUGUGGGUAUCAUGUUUUCAAUUCACCCCGUGGGAAAGGUUGGUUGAUUUGCCCAAAAUCCUGGGCAGGUAGGGGUAGGAGUCAGGAAUCUGAUGGGGGCUCAGGAAGGGUGGUGUAGGCUCUCAGCCAUUGCCCCUCCAUCCUCAGGAGACUGACCCCUGGGGUGCCACCCCAGGGUGGCACCACAUGGACCUCAGUGAGUGGAAGAUGUCUCCAUCCUACUGCAGCCCAAAGGAGGACAGACCAACUGGGGCUGGCAGCAAAUGGAUGGGAUUCUGAAAGGUACCAUUUGCAAAAAGAGCAUGUGUCCUGAGAGAAAAAGCACCCUUUGUAUUGCCCACCCCAGCAUCAAUCACCCCUGCUUCACUUCCCCUCCCCCAGCCAAAGAGUAAAUUGCCGGGAAAGUGUUGCCUGUGACAGGGCACAGGAGUUCCCAAAGCCAGAAACGUUGGUGUCCUGCCACAGGUCGGGACACAGCAGCUCACAUAGCACUCUUCACUGGGCCCUGGAUAGCCGGGAGGAGGUGCUGGGGAGGUGCAGUCCUAGAGGGGCUUGGGAAACCCAUGGGAGUCUAGGUAGUCCCAGAUCAGCUGCCAGCAAGCAGAGUGAGGAGAAAGGAAAUAUUAAGAGCAACUGCUGUGGGCUAGGUUGUCAGGUGCCAGGUCACUGUGCUUUGGCCCAAUGAGUUCUCUUUAAUUUUAUGGGCUGUGGGUGCCAUUAGUACAUUCAUUUUACAGAUGAAGACACUGAGGAUCAGAAAAGUUAUGGUCCUUAGUCACACAGCUAAAAAUUGCCAGAAAUGAGAUUCAAAAUCAAGACUAAAUGACUCUAAACUAUACUCCUAACCCCAAAGAAAUCCUGUCACUUAAAAAAGGUCCCCAAAGCUGUACUUUCUCCUGGCCAGUAUCCACUUGAAAAGACAUCAACCUUUGCCUGCAAGGCCACCUCAAAUACUCCCUUGCCUGGGGUCUUCCUCAAUUCCACCUAAUGCCAUCUCUCUUCUUGGGGUGUGCUAAGCCUUGGAGACUGGGCACUGGGGCGGAUUCCAGACCCUCAUUCAGAUUGGGGCUGUUGGUUAAUAUUGCUCUUAAGUGCUGCUGCUGCCCAGUCUCCUGGCUCCUGGUCUUCUAUACUCCCGUAGACUUUGCUUCUUCCUUGAGGUCCUUGACCUAAAGGAGCCUCUUAGGAAGGUGAGGAGGCUCCCAGGAUGGCCCCACUGCUUCUCAGAGGCUAGUCCAAUGAUAAGAGGGAGUGGGGGGGUGGGUCUUGAGAAGCUGAUACUGGAAAGCAGAGAUGGUCCCCAUGUGCUUGAGUUUCUAGGACUCUUACAAGACCAUUGGGUCCAUCUGAAUUGUCCUGAGAGAGCACUAGGGCAAAUUAUGGGAAAGAAGCCUCUUCCUGUCCUGUGAACCCUCUGGCUUUCUUGCACCAGUCCAUGGAGAAUAAAGUUUCUUUGCAAAGCCUCCCAUGU